rnacentral:rRNA from 1 species
AGUGAACGCUGGCGGUAGGCCUAACACAUGCAAGUCGAACGGCAGCACAGUAAGAGCUUGCUCUUACGGGUGGCGAGUGGCGGACGGGUGAGGAAUACAUCGGAAUCUACUUUUUCGUGGGGGAUAACGUAGGGAAACUUACGCUAAUACCGCAUACGACCUACGGGUGAAAGCAGGGGAUCUUCGGACCUUGCGCGAUUGAAUGAGCCGAUGUCGGAUUAGCUAGUAGGCGGGGUAAAGGCCCACCAAGGCGACGAUCCGUAGCUGGUCUGAGAGGAUGAUCAGCCACACUGGAACUGAGACACGGUCCAGACUCCUACGGGAGGCAGCAGUGGGGAAUAUUGGACAAUGGGCGCAAGCCUGAUCCAGCCAUACCGCGUGGGUGAAGAAGGCCUUCGGGUUGUAAAGCCCUUUUGUUGGGAAAGAAAAGCAGCAGGUUAAUACCCUGCUGUUCUGACGGUACCCAAAGAAUAAGCACCGGCUAACUUCGUG